UAGGGCUAACAAUUGACCAUGAAGAAAACCAUAUUUACGAAGAUUUACCAUGGUGGAAUCUUAUUCGAGAUAUUUGUACCUACUUAUGUUGGAAACUGUGUGUCUGCACUCAGGGACUUAUUCCUGUCUUGUUAGAAUUGUUACCAAAUGUUGAGAAAAGGAUGUGUGCUAGACUUAUAUGGAAUAACUGGCAUGUGAACUGGAAAGGAGAAAGAAAGAAACAUUUUUGGAGAUGCUCAAAGGCCUCGUUUGAAGUCAAGUUUGGUGAAAAAGUUCAUGCAAUGUCUAAGUUAGGUAAGAAGGAUAUAAAAGAUGACUUACUAUAUUAUGAUCCCAUAAAUUGGUGUAGGGCUUUUUUCAUACUCACCCUAGUGUGAUGUUGUAGAAAAUAACAUAUGUGAGACUUUCAAUUCCUAGAUCUUAGUUAAAUAAAUCAAUUAUUUACCGUGUUAGAGGAUAUUAGGCAUAAAAUAAUGAACAGACAUAUACACAUGAUCAAAUUUGAUGAAACAUAGAUAUCAGACAUUUCACCUAUGGCAAGGGAUAUGCUAUAUAAAAAAAAGAGUAUUCAAAUAAAUGUAAUGUUCAAUGGAAUGGAGUGAAUGAUUUUGAGAUUAGUGAUGGUGAAUACUCAUUUGUUGUUGACUUGGAGAAGAACCAUUGUGACUGUAAGUUGUGGAUGUUGAGAGGUAUACCUUGCCCUCAUACUAUUUGUGAUUAUUAUUACUUGAGCCAAGAUCCUGACCAACAUGUAGAGCACUGGUAUAUGAAGGAAACAUUUCUCAAGGCUUACAACCAUUUCAUCCAACCUAUUCCUAAUAUGAGGAUGUGACCUAAAACUACAAAUCCAUCAAUUGAGCCUACAAAAUCAAGAAAAAUGCCAUAUAGACCUAGAAAGAAGAGAAGAAAGAGUAAGGAUGAACCAAACAAAUGGGGGAAAUUUCAAGAAAAGGAGUAAAGAUGAGAUGUUCUAUAUGUAAGAAAACUGAUCAUAACAAAGUUGUGUGCGCAAGAGUAAGUAUUACUAGUUAUAUUCACAUUUAUGAAUUGCUUUAAGUUUAUAAUCAUAUGUUUUAUUUUGUGGUGACAUAGUAUGGGGGAGGGGGGGAACAUUUAUCAACCUACAAGUCAAGGAAAUUCAAGCAAACAAAGUUAUUCUCAAACAGGAGUAAGAUUUAUUUUACAUAUUCAUUUGCAUUAAUUUUUAUUGUAUAAGUUAUUCAUAUGUCCUUAUUUUUGCUCAAUAGGUUAGAACACAAAGUUCUGUUUAUCCUGAUACCACUACUGUGCCAAGAAUUUUGCCAUUAGUAACUCAUUUGCAUUUUCUGUUUGUUCUACAAGUUAUCAUAUAUCCUUAUUUAUGCUAUAUAGUCUACAAUGGGAGGUCCAUCACAUUUUACUUAAGAAUCACAUAAGCAACUACACAAUCAAGUCAACCAACUUCUAUUUGUGUUGACACAACAUCUGUGCCAAGACCUGCUCAAAAUAGAGUUCAAGUUGGGACUGAAAGAGGAUUGGGAAGAACAAAAGCUAAUGCAAGAGAAACCUCAUUUGUUACUGAAAGGAUUAGUUCUUCUAGUCAAUUGUAACCUUUAUCAGGUCACAGGAGAUAAUACAGUUCUGCCUCAUUUGCUGCUGCUACUGGAGAAAACAAAAGGCUUGCAACUGGUUUUAAUAUUUACUUUGAUCCUACAACUGGAGCCCAAGUAUUUAAUCCUGGUAAUCAAGUGAGAAGAUUUUGCAUAGGUCAACAAAAUUGAAGAGUGCUUCACCAACCAAUAUAAACAUUGAUUUUAAACUCCGUGGCCUAAAAUGGAAGAGAAAAGAUGCAGUCAGCACCUCACAGUUGCAACAAAUGAAAGCUAAAAAGAAAAAUUAGAAGUAGUUAAUUUGGAAAGUAGUUAUGAUUUUGGCUCAUGUUAAAAGGGUUUUUUUGAAAAACAAGUUACUCUUUAGUUUAUUUGAACACUCGUCUAAUGUAUUUUUGAACAUUGUUUUUGUGUUAGCAAUACUAUGUAUUUUUGAACCAUGUAAGACAAUGGUUUGUUAUGUAUUUUUCAACCAUUACUUUG